GAUGAACGCUGGCGGCGUGCCUAAUACAUGCAAGUCGAGCGGCAGCACGGUCUUCGGACUGGUGGCGAGCGGCGGACGGCAGAGUAACGCGUAGGAAUAUACCCCAAAGUGAGGAAUAACUGCCCGAAAGGGUGGCUAAUGCCGCAUGUGGUCUUCGGAUUAAAGCUUUAUGCGCUUUGGGAAUAGCCUGCGUUCGAUUAGCUAGUUGGUGAGGUAAUGGCUCACCAAGGCUACGAUCGAUAACUGGUCUGAGAGGAUGAUCAGUCUGACUGGAACUGAGACACGGUCCAGACUCCUACGGGAGGCAGCAGUAGGGAAUUUUCCGCAAUGGGCGAAAGCCUGACGGAGCAAUACCGCGUGAGGGAAGAAUGCCUAUGGGUUGUAAACCUCUUUUUCAGGGAGGAAUAAAAUGACGUGUACCUGAAGAAUAAGCAUCGGCUAACUCCGUG
rnacentral:rRNA from 1 species